AACGUAGGGGCGAGCGUUGUCCGGAAUUAUUGGGCGUAAAGGGUAACGCAGGCGGUUCUUUAAGUCUGAUGUGAAAUCUCACAGCUUAACUGUGAGCGGUCAUUGGAAACUGAGGAACUUGAGUAUAGAAGAGAAGAGUGGAAUUCCAAGUGUAGCGGUGAAAUGCGUAGAUAUUUGGAGGAACACCAGUGGCGAAGGCGACUCUUUGGUCUAUUACUGACGCUGAGGUACGAAAGCAUGGGUAGCAAACAGGAUUAGAUACCCUGGUAGU
rnacentral:rRNA from 1 species